rnacentral:lncRNA from 1 species
AAUUAUAUUUGAGUGGAAUUAUUGUGAUCUAAAAGAUGUUUUUUUUUUUGUUUCUUUUUUUUGAGAGAGAUAGGUAGCACGCUACCCGAUUCGUUUAACUUAGCUGGAAAUGUGAAUAAAUUAGGAUUCGAACUUGGGUCUUGGAUACCAACCAUCAAAACUUUUGCCACUUGCUCUAUGGACGGUCGGUUCUAAAAGAUGUGUUAUUACUUAUGGAAACAUGUUUUGACAUGGUAGAGCUUAAAACUGGGG